rnacentral:rRNA from 1 species
GGGAAAAGAAAGAGGUGAAAUCGGAUAACCCGGCCCGCUUCGGUGUGGCCCCGAAUCAAAAAUCGUCGUCAUAAAAGGUCCCCGAACCUGAAGCCGUCAUCCUCCGUUCAAGUCAGCCAUGGCGCCGCCGCAGCACGCCCCCCGCCGCCCCUACAAGCGCCCGGCCAUCUCCGACCAGCAGCGCCGCCGCGACUCCGCCCUCCAGACCCAGUCCGCCCGCCGCGCCGACGCCCAGGCGCGCGCGCGCAGCCUCGCCAACUCCCUGCUCUCUCCCCAACCCUCCUCCCCCGCCGCCGCCGACCAACCCCCGCCCUCCCCCGACGCCCCCGACGAACGCGGACAUGAUCCCACCGUCGCCGACGUCGCCUCGGCCGCAGCCAAGCUCCGCGGCCCCGACCAGCGCCGCUGGUUCGCCCGCCAGAUCAUGCUCCCGGAGUGGAUGGUCGACGCCCCUCCCCACCUCGCCCGCGACUGGCAUGUUUCUGCCAGACCCGCUGGCAAACGAUGCAUGGUCGUGUCGUCGAACGGCAUCACGAUUAGCAGGCUCCGUAACGGAACCAUUCUUCACCGGUUCCCCUCCGCCUUACCCAACGGGUCCAAGAAAGGACUCUCUGGUCCUGCAAGCUCCUACUCUAUCCUUGACUGCAUAUUCCAUGAGCCUGAUGAGACGUACUACAUCGUUGAUAUGAUUUGUUGGCGAGGCUAUUCGCUCUAUGAUUGCACUGCUGAGUUCAGAUUUUUCUGGGUGAACUCCAAGCUUACGGAGACUUCUGCUGGCGAUCCUCCAUCGACAUACCAUCGGUAUAGAUUCAGUGCUGUUCCUAUGUAUGAGUCCACGCUUGAUGGCCUUCAGGCAGCAUAUUCGGGAAGCACACCUUAUGUUAAAGAUGGCUUGCUGUUCUAUAACAAGCAUGCACAUUAUCAAGCUGGAAUCACACCCCUUACGCUAGUAUGGAAAGACGAGACUUGCAGCCAAUAUCUUCUUGAUACGGAUAGUGAGGGACAAGUUCCAACUGAGCAACACGUUGUGUUGGAGCUGCAAGAGGAUGGAAAGCUAGUUACUUCUGAUGAUCCUCCAAUUGCAUUUGGUAGCUUGGACAACGAACUUAUCCAGAAGUCAAACCUGCGGCCUGGGAACCUUCUUCGCUUCAGUGUAAGAGAUGAAAGUGUGAAACUUGUGGAUGGGAAGAUGGAGAUUGGUCAGCUGCAACUUGCCGGGAAGCUGAACCGUUCUCGUACUUCCGCUGACAGCCACUCCAAAGUUUUGUUCCAGUAUGCUGCCAGGCAUGCUCCUCUGAGAAUUGAGGAUCUGGUAGCCUCUGUUCAAUCAAACAGUAUGGAGAUUGAAUCCACAGAUGUUGAAAUGCAAGGUUGAGGUGAGGGAGCGCCGAUUUCAAUAUCAUGUUUUUGCCACAUAGUGAAUUCUCGUGCUGCUGAUUUGGCUGCCCUUAUUCUGCAGUUUAUUUGUAUCUUUCACCUUUUCGAACAUGUGUAAUGGCAGUCAUUCAAGGCUGAAGGAAUACAUGUGCCAAUUUUGGCAUUUGAGUGGAUACCAUGUUAGGUUGAAGUAGAUGCAAAACGAGACCAAGGGGUGAGCUCGCUGUGGCAUUCAGGUGGCGAUUUGAGCAAACGACGUGAUGGUCUGGAAGCCGUGAUCCUCAGGAAGCGGCGCGUUUCCAGGCCUGAUCGAUAUUAGCACCUCAAGACCUGCAAAACCAGUAGAUGAAUCAAGCCAUCUGUGAGU